rnacentral:misc_RNA from 1 species
UUGAAUGAAUAUAGAGUUGGUUGUUGCUGGCUUUAGGCAUGUGCACACCUUCUCUUUUCAUCCACACACACCUGUGAACUUGUGAGGCAGGGGAGGUAGAGAGGUCUUAAUUGGCCUUGAUUCUUUCCUGCCUACUUAAUUACACAAACUCAUUUUUUUUAAAUUGAAUGUAAUUGAUGUAACGCAUCAUUUAAUAC